rnacentral:rRNA from 1 species
CUUGAGCGCUGGCGGCAGGCUUAACACAUGCAAGUCGAGCGGGGUGAUGGUGCUUGCACUAUCACUUAGCGGCGGACGGGUGAGUAAUGCUUAGGAAUCUGCCUAUUAGUGGGGGACAACAUCUCGAAAGGGAUGCUAAUACCGCAUACGUCCUACGGGAGAAAGCAGGGGAUCACUUGUGACCUUGCGCUAAUAGAUGAGCCUAAGUCGGAUUAGCUAGUUGGUGGGGUAAAGGCCUACCAAGGCGACGAUCUGUAGCGGGUCGGAGAGGAUCAUCCGCCACACUGGGAGUGAGACACGGCCCAGACUCCUACGGGAGGCAGCAGUGGGGAAUAUUGGACAAUGGGGGGAACCCUGAUCCAGCCAUGCCGCGUGUGUGAAGAAGGCCUUAUGGUUGUAAAGCACUUUAAGCGAGGAGGAGGCUCUUUUGGUUAAUACCCAAGAUGAGUGGACGUGACUCGCAGAAUAAGCACCGGCUAACUCUGUGCCAGCCGCCGCCGUAA